rnacentral:misc_RNA from 1 species
GAUGAAGAACGUAGCGAAAUGCGAUAAGUAGUGUGAAUUGCAGAAUUCGGUGAAUCAUCGAAUCUUUGAACGCACAUUGCGCCCCUUGGUAUCCCGAGGGGCAUGCCUGUUCGAGCGUCAUUUCACCACUCAAGCCUGGCUUGGUGUUGGGCGACGUCCCCUUUGGGGACGCGCCUCGAAACGCUCGGCGGCGUGGCACCGGCUUUAAGCGUAGCAGAAUCUUUCGCUUUGGAAGUCGGGGCCCCGUCUGCCGGAAGACCUACUCGCAAGGUUGACCUCGGAUCAGGCAGGGAUACCCGCUGAACUUAAGCAUAUCAAUAAGCGGAGGA